rnacentral:tRNA from 1 species
CUUUUAGCUCAGUUGGUUAGAGCAGCAGACUCAUAAUCUGAAGGUCCUAGGUUCAAGCCCUAGA